GCCCCUAUAGCUCAAAUGGAUAGAGCAGCGGUUUCCUAAACCGCGGAUCCCUGUUCAAUUCAGGGUAGGGGUACCA
rnacentral:tRNA from 1 species